GUCCGGUGAAAAUCCGGCACUGUCCCGCAACGGUAAUUCACGGUUCGAGCGCUCUGCGCAAGAACAGUGAUUAGUCCGG
rnacentral:ncRNA from 2 species